CUAUUUGGCCCAACCCAUAUUAGAUUGUGUUAUAAAGACAUGGUAAAUUACAUCACGAAGGGAAGAGCAGAGGAAACAUAAUAUUCCUUCAAGACCCAUCAGCUCAGAUGUUAGCAGAACACCCCUAAGGAGGAAAACAAGAAAUUUUGGGUUUGAACUUGGUGCUUCCCAGCAGCCCUGGGAGUGGGGUCAGAAGCCCUGCUGGGGGGCGAAGAACUCUGAGGAUCAAAGAUGUUGAGCAUCACCUUAGAGGCCAAAGAUCAGAACAGCGGAGGUGGCCUUUGAAGCCCAACCUGUCUUUCACCAGAGAGUGAGAACGGCCUCUAUUUCCAGGAAGCUCACUGCAGCAAUAAUCACGAUGCUCUGAGCCUGACAAGGUGAGAAUUUACUUUCAGCACCUGCAAUAGUUUCCUAUUAAAGUUACAUAUGAAACCCUGCCGUCUUGUACCAACUAAUGUUCACACCAGCGUUCCUAUUUUCAAGAUAAAUUGCAAAAUAAAAACUCUUGUUUUUGUUAGCAAAAGAAAACUUCUUUAGGAGGAUAAAAGGGAGAUGAAGAAACAGAAAACACAUCAGCUCUCCAUCCAGAUUACAGAAAGCAGAAAACAUCCUGAAGUGAAUAACAUAGGAAUCACUCUUUUUCCCCCCUGAGAUAGCAGGUUACUUAUGAGAAACAAGCUUGAAAUCUCUGCACCUGGACCAGCUUCCAGAGGCUUUUGUCCUGACCAGAUAUUUACUGAAUAACUAGAAGAUGCUAGAUGCUAUUCUAUUCAUUUUAUACCACUCUUCAAAUUACGGAUGUUUCCCCACCGAAACCGACCCUCACAAAAGAAAAACUAUCUGGGGCCUUGGAUCCUCUUUCAAAGGCUCAAGCUGGCUUUGGGGAAGUAAAGGAAACCAGGGAAGAAGGGGCUGAAUUGGUUUCCACCGUGACCUUUGAACCCUCGGGCGAGUUGUCAACCUCACUGAGGAUGAGUGUACUCGAUAUCAAAUGAGGUCACUUUACUCGCAAGCUUGUUGUGAGGACUGAAUGAAACCUUUUCUUUUUUCUUGGAGUUUCAGAGCAAUGUCCCUGAGCCAAGCCCCACACUGGCUUGAGCCCUAUCGUCGGUCAAGACACGGUGCUUUCUCCCCUCCCCUCUGCACUCCAGCUUACUCUGCAGUCAGGAGGUGGCACCAGGAUCCCCUUUAAGACUUUGCCACUUGGGCCAGCUGUGCCCCUGUGAAAUUCCCUGUUUCUAUUGCAGGCCACAAGGACGAGCUGAGAAAUGGCUUCCAGUCACCAUCUAGAUUAGAAAGCCUAUAUUUCAAAUAUAGAGAUAUCAAUUAUGCCUGUAAAAAGACAUUAAAUCCCACAGGGCUGUAAUUCCUAGACUCUACGAAUUUCAUCUUGCACCAAAUUUUAUUAUUUCAUUUAUAAUUCGGAUUCUUCAAAUCUAAGAGUGCCUGGCUCAAAAUUAAAAUACCUACAACUA
rnacentral:lncRNA from 1 species